UCUCCGUUGGUGAACCAGCGGAGGGAUCAUUAUAGAGUUUUCUAAACUCCCAACCCAUGUGAACUUACCAUUGUUGCCUCGGCAGAAGCUACCUGGUUACCUUACCUUGGAACGGCCUACCCUGUAGCGCCUUACCCUGGAACGGCCUACCCUGUAACGGCUGCCGGUGGACUACCAAACUCUUGUUAUUAUAUUGUAAUCUGAGCGUCUUAUUUUAAUAAGUCAAAACUUUCAACAACGGAUCUCUUGGUUCUGGCAUCGAUGAAGAACGCAGC
rnacentral:misc_RNA from 1 species